AUCCCAUGAUGAGGACAUUUCCUCAAAAACUCCUUAAACCUCUCCCAUGCAUCGUAAAGAGACUCUCCUACAAAUUGAGCGAAGUUAUUAAUUUCCCCUCUUAACUU